GCGCGAAAACUUUACAAUGCUGGCAACAGCGUUAAGAGAACCUCGAGUGCCAGGUUACAAAUCUGGCUGUCGAGAUGCCUAAAAAGCAUUUCAUAGCAAGGGCCGGGCAAGACCGGUGCCAGCCGCCGCGGUAACACCGGCGGCUCGAGUGGUAACCGUUAUUAUUGGGUCUAAGGGGUCUGUAGCCGGCCGGAUAAGUCUCUUGAGAAAUCUGACAGCUUAACUGUCAGGCUUUCAGGAGAUACUGUCUGGCUCGAGGCCGGGAGAGGUGAGAGGUACUUCAGGGGUAGGGGUGAAAUCUUGUAAUCCUUGAAGGACCACCAGUGGCGAAGGCGUCUCACCAGAACGGACCUGACGGCAAGGGACGAAAGCUAGGGGCACGAACCG
rnacentral:rRNA from 1 species